CCUACGGGUGGCAGCAGUGAGGAAUAUUGGUCAAUGGACGAGAGUCUGAACCAGCCAAGUAGCGUGAAGGAUGACUGCCCUAUGGGUUGUAAACUUCUUUUAUAAAGGAAUAAAACGAGGCACGUGUGCCUUUCUGCAUGUACUUUAUGAAUAAGGAUCGGCUAACUCCGUGCCAGCAGCCGCGGUAAUACGGAGGAUCCGAGCGUUAUCCGGAUUUAUUGGGUUUAAAGGGAGCGUAGAUGGGUUGUUAAGUCAGUUGUGAAAUUUUGGGGCUUAACCGUAAAAUUGCAAUUGAUACUGGCAGUCUUGAGUACAGUUGAGGUAGGCGGAAUGCGUGGUGUAGCGGUGAAAUGCUGAGAGAUCACGAAGAACCCCGAUUGCGAAGGCAGCUUACUAAACUGUGACUGACAUUGAGGCUCGAAAGUGUGGGUAUCAAACAGGAUUAGAUACCCGGGUAGUC
rnacentral:rRNA from 1 species